GAAAAAUGACCAAGUGAAAAGGGAGAAAAUUAGGGACCAAAAAACAUUUAGGUUUCUUGGGGACCAAGCAAUUGGGAAGAAAAAGAUAAAUCAUUUUACCUAUAAAUAGAUGGUUAUCUCACGUAAAAGAGGAGACCAAAAAAAAUAAAAUAUAGAAAAGUCAUAAAAAAGUUUUCCCACACUUUUCUCUCCAAAUCUCCCACAAAAAAAAAACCUAACCUAAAAAAACCUAAACUUAGC
rnacentral:lncRNA from 1 species